UGCCUACGGGAGGCAGCAGUGAGGAAUAUUGGUCAAUGGGAGAGAUCCUGAACCAGCCAAGCCGCGUGAGGGAAGACGGCCCUAUGGGUUGUAAACCUCUUUUGUCGGGGAGCAAAAAGGCUCUGCGGAGUCGUAUUGAGAGUACCCGAAGAAAAAGCAUCGGCUAACUCCGUGCCAGCAGCCGCGGUAAUACGGAGGAUGCGAGCGUUAUCCGGAUUUAUUGGGUUUAAAGGGUGCGCAGGCGGCGUGUCAAGCAAGCGGUAAAAUAGCG
rnacentral:rRNA from 1 species